rnacentral:misc_RNA from 1 species
UCUCCGUAGGUGAACCUGCGGAGGGAUCAUUACAGAGUUCAUGCCCUACCGGGUAGAUCUCCCACCCUAUGUUAUUAUUACUUAGUUGCUUUGGCGGGCCGUUAGGCUCCGGCCCGACUACCGGCCCCGGCUGGUAAGCGCCCGCCAGAGGACCCAAAACCCUGAAUAUUAGUGUCGUCUGAGUACUAUAUAAUAGUUAAAACUUUCAACAACGGAUCUCUUGGUUCUG